UGCCGCCGCUUGUCCGUUCGUAUCAGUCUUCGUUCAUACGCCACCGUAAAACGACCAGUUUUUCCCGACCGGGGGGAGGGGUAACUCGCGCGUGUUCGUUGGCGGGCUCGUUAUCCCCCGAUCGCGGUGCAUCUCUAAUCGUGCGGAAACGUCUGUCGGUGGAAAAUUUACGUUUAAAAGUUCAAUAAUUGCGGACCGUUCGAGUGUUUUGAUCGCGUGUAAAAUUGUUGGUGAUUUCGAGCGGAGGAGUGUGCGUGUUUCUGCGAUAGGCAAAUAUUAAUAAUAAUAAUAAAAAAAAAAAAAAAACAGAAAAAAAACCACCCUCGUCUCGUGAUCGCAAUAUCAUCAAUUUACAAUUGCAAAACAUAAACUCGUUAUCAUUACACACACACAGUAAUACAGUACACGUAUACGGGUGGUGCUUUUCAGUAUGUAUCUAUCGUUCUUGGACGAACAGUUUGCGGAGACUAGCCCCGUCUAGUAAGGAUCGGCAGUCUUGAGCCUAUUUGAGCGGUCAACCACGCCUCGGUAUAUACAACUCGUUGACCACUGCACAGUUCACUCAAAUUUUCAAUAUUUUCAACAUUUGGCUUUUAGAGAUUGCUACAAAUAAAGAAGUUAUGUCGUUUUAAAUAAUGUAUGAAAUGCUUAUCAUGAAAACAAUUCUACUACAAAGUCUCUAGAAUCUCCACCAAGUUCCUUAAGUAAGAAAUCAGCGGUGGCGGCGGCGACGACGACGACAGAUUCGAUGUUCAACAAAACGUCGGCGGCGGCGGUGGCCGCGACGGCGGCGAUG